rnacentral:tRNA from 1 species
GGGUAGGUAUGCAAGUCUGGUCAAAGCAAGCAGUCUGUAAAACUGUUUCGGCAACGAUUCAAAGGUUCAAAUCCUUUCCUGCCCACCA